rnacentral:rRNA from 1 species
GACGAACGCUUUCUUCUUUCUUAACACAUGCAAGUCGAACGGAAAGGCCCUGCUUUUGUGGGGUGCUCGAGUGGCGAACGGGUGAGUAACACGUGAGUAACCUGCCCUUGACUUUGGGAUAACUUCAGGAAACUGGGGCUAAUACCGGAUAGGAGCUCCUGCUGCAUGGUGUGGGUUGGAAAGUUUCGGCGGUUGGGGAUGGACUCGCGGCUUAUCAGCUUGUUGGUGGGGUAGUGGCUUACCAAGGCUUUGACGGGUAGCCGGCCUGAGAGGGUGACCGGCCACAUUGGGACUGAGAUACGGCCCAGACUCCUACGGGAGGCAGCAGUGGGGAAUAUUGCACAAUGGGCGGAAGCCUGAUGCAGCAACGCCGCGUGCGGGAUGACGGCCUUCGGGUUGUAAACCGCUUUCGCCUGUGACGAAGCGUGAGUGACGGUAAUGGGUAAAGAAGCACCGGCUAACUACGUG